rnacentral:lncRNA from 1 species
GGGUGCAGGGACCAGAUCCUAUCUUCUUUCUGACCCUGCUGGUUCUGGUUCUGUUGCUUGCAGGAGAGGCCCAGACACCCCAGCCCGGGGGCCUGGCGGUAGCCGUGGCAGUGCCGGUGGUGUUGGUGCUGCUGGGCGCAGGGGCCCUGCUGCGGUGGUUCGUGCUCGCCAGGAAACGCCAGGCUGAAGCGAGCCGCUCUGCCAAGGACACCGGGGAGGCACUGUACACAGAGCUCCAGCCCCGGGACACCCCCGAUAUUUACUGCACGAUCCAGACGCCAGAACACGGAGCUGCAGGUAGGAACGGCACAGCCUCUGGCUGGCAUGCGGCACCCAGGGCCCC